GCAGACGUGAAUCAUCGAAUCUUUGAACGCAUAUUGCGCCUUGGGGCAUUCCCCAAGGCAUGCCUGUUUGAGCGUGAUAUCUUCUCACCGUUGGUGGAUUUGUUUCUAAAUAUCAUGCCACAGUGAAGUCUACGCUUUCACUGCUUUUUCCCCUCAAAUCAGGUAGGACUACCCGCUGAACUUAAGCAUAUCAAUAAGCGGAGGAAAAGAAACCAACAGGGAUUGCCUCAGUAACGGCGAGUGAAGCGGCAAGAGCUCAACUUUGGAAUCGCUGCGGCGAGUUGUAGUCUGGAGGUGGCCGGUCCCGGCGCCAGCGCGCAGCCAAGUCCUUUGGAACAAGGCGCCUGAGAGGGUGACAGCCCCGUGGCAGUUUGUGCUGGUGCCGCCUCGGCCCACCGACGAGUCGAGUUGUUUGGGAAUGCAGCUCUAAGUGGGUGGUAAAUUCCAUCUAAAGCUAAAUACCGGCGAGAGACCGAUAGCGAACAAGUACAGUAAUGGAAAGAUGAAAAGCACUUUGAAAAGAGAGUGAAACAGUACGUGAAAUUGUUG
rnacentral:rRNA from 2 species